rnacentral:snRNA from 1 species
ACAGUUAUCUGUCAGGGAAGAUACUACAAUCACCACGAAGGUGAUAUCCCAAGGCAAAGCUUAUCCAUUCCACUCUGGAUGUGCUCACCCAGUGAUUCCCCACAUGCAGGAAACAUGGCUGUAUAAUUUGAGGUAGCUGAGUACCGUGUUCACACUCUCCCA